UAGGGAAUUUUCGUCAAUGGGCGCAAGCCUGAACGAGCAAUGCCGCGUGAGUGAGGAAGGUCUUCGGAUCGUAAAGCUCUGUUGCAGGUCAGAAAAAGAAGGGAAGAGGAAAUGCUUUUCUUUUGUAUAGUAACCUGCCAGAAAGUACACGGC
rnacentral:rRNA from 1 species